CCGCCGCCAUCUUGCCGCCGGAAGUGGCGACCCCCGGCUCACCUCCCCGCCCUGCCGUUGCUCGGCAACCGAGGGUGGGUUGGAGCAGGAAAGGGGCGCGGCUUACAAAGCGCCGCUUCAGGAUUGGUUCCCGGGCUGUGACUGACGUAGCGACUAGCUCCAGUUUAAGCAGCAUUACCUGAUGCGGGGUGAAGGAGCGGACGUGGGCCAGCAACGGCUCUCGCAACUCUGGGCACUUCUCAAAGACGGCGCUGAGCUGCUGCGGAGGCAACUGGAGGAUGACCUGGAAGGACUGAGGCUUAGUGCGCUGGCAGCACUUGAUGAAACCCUCCCAGACCUUGGGAUACUUCCACACCUUGAGAGGAAACAGAACAUUAGUUAGGACCAGCAGGGAGAAUCUCUUCUGUAUUUUGUCCCUCUUGGAUAUAGGAAUGGCCUACGACACAUGGGUCAAACUCAAGGCCUACAGGCCAAAUCCAGACUACCAUGUCCUUUUAUGUGCCCCUCCAGGAAUACUUUUCUGUAUUCCUCAUCAUUAGAAAUUUUGCCAUUGGAGAAAUUAUACUGUUUAGCUAGUACUGUCAGGAAGUAGCAGCCAGUAAAGAAAGGACCAAAGCAUUGACAUCUCCAGCCCAUCCUCUGUUCAGAUAUCAGCCAGCAUGCCAAUGUUUUAAAUCAAGAAAUCUAUAUAUAUGAAAGAGUGAUGGCAUCACGGCAACCCACAAAACAGCAAAACUACAGGCCCCCCAACCUCGAAAUUUGGCAACACAACCCAUCAUCCACGCCUCUAGGUUGAUACAACAAAAAGAAAAGAAAAAUAAAGUCCUAAUUUGAGAGAGAGGAAUAAUUGCUUUUAUCCAAUUGCUGCCAGUUAGAAGGCUAAGCUCCUCCAACUUGGUCUCCUAGCAACCCAAAAAUAAUAAUAAAAAACACUAAAAAUUAAUAAAAUAAAAUAAAAUACUAUAACAGAAAAUAACUAAAAAUAAUACAAGAAAAUAAUAAAAUAUAAUAAAUAAAAAUAUAACUUACAAUAAAAUUAAUUAAA